GUUUCUGUUCUUUUUUUAUUGUUAAACUUGAUUUUCUAUAACGUUUUUGGUUCAUCAAAUCAAAAUGGUCGAGUGUGUAUUAUAGGUCCGCUUCGAAGUACAAAAGUUCAAAAUAUUCCUAUUAGAAUCGAAAUAAUUCUAUCAUGCCAUGCUCUAUGCUCAUUUUAACAUGAGUAGGCAUUAUAUUUGUAAACAUUAAAUACCUCACUAACACUCAGUAUUAAGAUAUUGACAAAUAUAAUGCCUACCCAUGUUAAAAAUGAUCAUAGAGCAUGGCAUGAAAGAAUUAUUUCUUAAAUUAAAUCAGACUUAAUUAUAAACUUUAUAUCUCUGCUACUCUUUACCCUCUAAAUAUGAAGAAAUAAGGUUGUUACCCUGUCCAGCAGAAUAUACACUUUAGGAUGAUUUUCUAGAUCAUAGUCUAUCAACUUAGUAAGAAAACUUGGUGCCAAUCAAUGACCAUAGAAAAUGAGUUCAGUCGGAUGAUCUUAUCAUAUGAACCUGUAAUUCAUAUAUUGAAUCUUCAUAUCUAAUAAAGUUGUGUUUUUUUUAAUUUUACUGCAAUUAUGUUUUGAAGUUUAAUAUGAAGUCCAAUUUCACUCAACUAUUAAAUAUUUUUAUUUAGGGGCUGGUUGAGUUACAACUCGGGGUGCAGGAUUUUCUUGUUGUGUUGAACACCCAUUGGUGGCCUUUGUCUGUUGUCUCUUUGACAUAUUCCCUAUUUUCAUUCUCAAUUUUAUUGAUAUUUCAUUAUAGUAUUAAUCAUGGAAGAACCUUUUAGCAAUUAUCUAACUUGAAAUUUCAGACAAUCUUUGUCGGAUGGACAUACAAGACCAUAUAUAUUUGACUUAUUACUAAAAACUGAAUAAAUGGUCAAAUCAAGGUUUCUGUAAAAU
rnacentral:lncRNA from 1 species